rnacentral:tRNA from 1 species
AGCCAAGUGGUGGAAUUUGGUAGACACGCGACGCUCAGAAGGUCGUGCCCGCAGGGGCGUGCGAGUUCAAGUCUCGCCUUGGCUA